AACGAACGUUGGCGGCGUGGAUUAGGCAUGCAAGUCGCACGAAUCCCAUUUGGGUAACUGAGUGGGGGAAGUGGCGAAAGGGGCAGUAAGGCAUGGGUAACUUGCCCUGGAGUCCGGAAUAGCCAUCCUAACGGAUGGGUAAUACCGGAUGUCGUACCUGGAGGGCCUCCUUCGGGUACGAAAGUUCAGGCGCUCCGGGAGGGGCCCAUGUAGUAUUAGCUAGUUGGUGAGGUAACGGCUCACCAAGGCCAAGAUGCUUAGCAGGUGUGAGAGCACGACCUGCGCCACUGGCACUGGGACACUGGCCAGACUCCUACGGGAGGCUGCAGUCGAGGAUCUUCGGCAAUGGGCGCAAGCCUGACCGAGCGACGCCGCGUGUGCGAUGAAGGCCUUCGGGUUGUAAAGCACUGUCGGGGGGGAGAAAAGCCGCAAGGCUUGAUCGACCCCCGGAGGAAGCACGGGCUAAGUUCGUG
rnacentral:rRNA from 1 species